rnacentral:rRNA from 1 species
CCAGCAGCCGCGGUAAUUCCAGCUCCAAUAGCGUAUAUUAAAGUUGUUGCAGUUAAAAAGCUUGUAGUUGGAUUUCUGGCAGGAGCGACCGGUCUCACACUCUGUGUGAGAACUUGUGUUGUCUCUGGCCAUCCUUGGGGAGAUCCUGUUUGGCAUUAAGUUGUCGGGCAGGGGAUACCCAUCGUUUACUGUGAAAAAAUUAGAGUGUUUAAAGCAGGCUUAUGCCGUUGAAUAUAUUAGCAUGGAAUAAUAAGAUAGGACUUUGGUACUAUUUUGUUGGUUUGUGCACCGAGGUAAUGAUUAACGGGGUCAACUGGGGAUAUUCGUAUUCCGCUGUCAGAGGUGAAAUUCUUGGAUUUUUGGAAGACGAACUACUGCGAAAGCAUUUAUCAAGGAUGUUUUCAUUAAUCAAGAACGAAAGU